rnacentral:rRNA from 1 species
CGUGUAGGCGGAAUAGUAUGUCAGAGGUGAAAACUACGGGCUUAACUCGUAGCCUGCCUUUGAAACUGCUAUUCUUGAGUGCGGGAGAGGAGAGUGGAAUUCCUGGUGUAGCGGUGAAAUGCGUAGAUAUCAGGAAGAACACCGGUAGCGAAGGCGGCUCUCUGGCCCGCAACUGACGCUGAGGCGCGAAAGCGUGGGGAGCAAACAGGAUUAGAUACCCUGGUAGUCC